GAUGAAGAACGCAGCGAAAUGCGAUAAGUAAUGUGAAUUGCAGAAUUCAGUGAAUCAUCGAAUCUUUGAACGCACAUUGCGCCCGCCAGUAUUCUGGCGGGCAUGCCUGCCCGAGCGUCAUUUCAACCAUCAAGCCCCGGGCUUGUGUUGGGGACCUGCGUCCGACGCAGGCCCCGAAAACCAGUGGCGGGCUCGCUGUCCACACCGAGCGUAGUAGCUAACCUCGCUCCGGAGUGGCGCGGGCGCCUGCCGUAAAACCCCCCAAUUUUACAAGGUUGACCUCGGAUCAGGUAGGAAUACCCGCUGAACUUAAGCAUAUCAAUAAGCGGAGGA
rnacentral:misc_RNA from 1 species